AAGUGGAGGGGUAGUCUCUUCACUUGGUUUAAAGAGUGAGAUUCAACUCCUCCAACUUGU
rnacentral:pre_miRNA from 1 species